GCCCAGCCGCCUGCGCUGGGAGUUGACUCCCCGUCCUGGUCACAGGUCGCCCUCCCCCGCGAGGGUCCCAGGCUGCCCUCGGGGGAACGGCCAAGCAGCUGCUGCCCCUGGAGCGGGUGUACCAGGAGAUCGCCAUCCUGAAGAAGCUGGACCACGUGAAUGUGGUCAAACUGAUCGAGGUCCUGGAUGACCCAGC
rnacentral:lncRNA from 1 species